rnacentral:rRNA from 1 species
UACGUAGGGUCCAAGCGUUAUCCGGAAUCACUGGGCGUAAAGCGUGCGUAGGUGGCGCGUUAAGUGAGAUGUUAAAUCGUGUGGCUCAACCAUAUCGAUGCAUCUCAUACUGGCGUGCUAGAGGGAAGCAGAGGCAAGUGGAAUUGGUAGUGUAGCAGUGAAAUGCGUAGAUAUUACCAGGAACACCAAUGGCGAAGGCAGCUUGCUGGGCUUCUUCUGACACUGAGGUACGAAAGCGUGGGGGAGCGAACAGG